GCCACUGUAGCUCAGGGGUAGAGCAACGCAUUCGUAAUGCGUGGGUCGUCGGUUCAAUUCCGACUAGUGGCUCCA
rnacentral:tRNA from 1 species